rnacentral:lncRNA from 14 species
CGGAGGCAGGAGGAUCUCUGUGAAUUCAAGGCCAGCCUGGUCUACAAAGUGAGUUCCAGGACAGCUGGAGUUGUUACACAGAGAAACCCUGUCUUGAAAAACAAAACAAAACAAAAACAACAAAACAAAGCCAGCCAAGGAAAUUUGGUUGUGUGUUCACUUGGAAAGCUGGACACGACUGCGGCAGGCAGCUAGACUUGUCUUGCACACUCAUUUGGGUCUGGCGUCUUACUGUUCUGUUCUCUUCCUUCACCCAGGGGGGCAUUACAUUUUCUUUGAUUCGGUCAAGUUAUCCCAGGAGGGGCAGUCUGCCAGAUUGGUGAGUCCACCCUUCUGUGCCCCUGGGGACAUCUGUGUGGAGUUUUCUUACCACAUGUACGGCCUUGGAAAAGGUACCACACUCAAGCUCCUGUUGGGGAGUCCCGCGGGUAGUUCUCCCAUCCCUCUGUGGAACCGUGUCGGGUCUCAGAGCUCUGGCUGGCUGAACAGCUCUGUCACCAUCCCUAAGGGACAUCAGCAGCCCAUGCAGCUGUUUAUUGAGGCCACCCGUGGCACCAGCACUGCCUUUGUCGUCGCUCUGAAUUUCAUCUUGAUCUCUCAUGGACCAUGUCGGGUAUUGCUGCAGACAGAGAUUCCUCCCAGUCCUCUGUUUCCACCUGCUGGCCCUGCUGUACUUACUGUCCCUGUGCUCCCCACGGAGGAGCACACCACCCCUACAGAAGCAACCACUGUUCCCAUAGAAAUAGCCACCACUCCUAUGGAAGAGAUCACCAUCCCCACAGAAGCUGCCACUGUUCCCAUCAGAGAGACCAUUAUUCCCACAGAAGUGACUGCUAUUCCCACAGAGGUGACCACUCCCACCGGAGAAGUGGUCACUGACCACAUGGGAGUGACCUACGUCUCUCCUGAAGAGACCAGUAUCCCCACUACGAUGAUCAUACCUGCAGAAGCUACCACUGUUUCUUCUGAAGAGAUCACUCUUGCCACAGAAGCUAUCACUGUCCCUACAGAAAUGGUCAUUGUCUCCAUAGAAUUGGGUGGAGUCACCAUAGUAGUGACCAAUAUCCCCCCCGCGGAGACCAUUCCUACAGAAGUUACCACUGUUUCUCCUGAAGAGACUGCUCUCCUCACAGAAGUGACUACUGUCCUCCCUGAAGAGACCACUGUCCCCACAGAAGCAACAGCUGUCCACAUGGAAGCAACCAGUGUCUCUCCCCAAGAGACCAGUGUCCCCCCUGAGGAGACCAUUCCUACAGAAGUUACCACUGUUUCUCCUGAAGAGACUGCUCUCCUCACAGAAGUGACUACUGUCCUCCCUGAAGAGACCACUGUCCCCACAGAAGCAACAGCUGUCCACAUGGAAGCAACCAGUGUCUCUCCCCAAGAGACCAGUGUCCCCCCUGAGGAGACCAUCCCUACAGAAGUUACCACUGUACCUCCUGAAGAGUUCAUUCUUCCCACAGAGGUGACUACUGUCCCCACAGAAGUGACUAAUGUUCUCCCUGAAGAUACCACUGUUCCUACAGAAGUAACAACUGUCCACAUGGAAGCGACCAAUGUCUCUCCUGGAGAGAUCAGUGUCUCCCCUGAGGAGACUACUGCUACCGAAGUUACCACUAUUUCUCCUGAAGAGGCCAUUCUCCCCACAAAAGUGAUCAUUCUCCCCAUAGAAGAGAUCGCUGUCCCCACAGAAGUGACCAUUGUCCCCACAGAAGUGACCAUAGUCCCCACUGGAGAGACCACUCUCCCCACUGAAGUGGCCACUGUCCCCACAGAAGUAACAGCUGUCCACAUGGAAGCAACCAAUGUCUCUCCUGAAGAGACCAUCCACCCUGAGGAGACCAUCGCUACAGAUGUUACCACUCUCCCCACUGAAGUGGCCACUGUCCCCACAGAAGUAACAGCUGUCCACAUGGAAACAACCAAUGUCUCUCCUGAAGAGACCAUCCACCCUGAGGAGACCAUCGCUACAGAUGUUACCACUCUUCCCACUGAAGUGGCCACUGUCCCCACAGAAGUAACAGCUGUCCACAUGGAAGCAACCAAUGUCUCUCCUGAAGAGACCAUCCACCCUGAGGAGACCAUCGCUACAGAUGUUACCACUCUCCCCACUGAAGUGGCCACUGUCCCCACAGAAGUAACAGCUGUCCACAUGGAAGCAACCAAUGUCUCUCCUGAAGAGACCAUCCACCCUGAGGAGACCAUCGCUACAGAUGUUACCACUCUCCCCACUGAAGUGGCCACUGUCCCCACAGAAGUAACAGCUGUCCACAUGGAAGCAACCAAUGUCUCUCCUGAAGAGACCAUCCACCCUGAGGAGACCAUCGCUACAGAUGUUACCACUGUUUCUCCUGAAGAGACCAUCGCUACAGAUGUUACCACUGUUUAUCCUGAAGUGACCAUUCUCCUCACAGGAGUGGCCACUGUCCCCAUAGAAGUGCCUACUGUCUUCACAGAAGUGACCACAGUCCCCAUUGGAGAGACCACUCUCCCCACAGAAGUGCCUACUGUCCUCACAAAAGUGACCACCGUCCCCACAGAAGUGACCACUGUCCCCACUGGAGAAACCACUCUCCCAACAGAAGUAACCACUGUCACCACUGGAAAAACCGCUCUCCCGACAGAAGUGCCCACUGUCCUCACAGAAGUGACAGGUGUUCACACAGAAGUGACCAAUAUCUCUCCUGAAGAGACCAGUGUCCCUCCUGAGGAGAUUAUUCCUACAGAAGUUACCACUCUUUCUCCUGAAGAGACCAUGUUCCCCACAGAAGUGCCUACUGUCCUCACAGAAGUGACCACUGUCCCCACAGAAGUGACUACUGUCCUCACAAAAGAGACCACUUUCCCUACAGCAAUGCCUACUGUCUCCACAGAAGUAACUAAUGUCUCUCCUGAAGAGACCAGUGUCCCCCAUGAGGAGACCAUCCCUACAGAAAUAACUACUGUUUCUCCUGAAGAGAUGGUUCUCCCCACAGAGGUGACCACUGUCCCCAUAGAAGUGACCACUGUCCCCACAGAAGUACUCACUGUCCUCACUGGGAAGAUCACCAUCCCCACAGACAUAACCAUUGUCUCCACAGAAGUGACAGGUGUUCACACAGACAUGACCAAUGUCUCUCCUGAAGAGACCAGCAUCCCUCCUGAGGAGAUUAUUCCUACAGAAGUUAUCACUUUUUCUCUUGAAGAGACCAUGUUCCCCACAGAAGUGCCCACUGUCUCCACAGAAGUGGCAGGUGUUCAUACAGAAGUGACCACUCCUGCUGAGAGAGCACCAUCCCUACAGAAAGGACCAUUGUUCGCUCUGUCAGCAUCCCUCCUGAGGAGACCACUACCCCAAGAAGUGGGCACUACCCUCACUGUAAGCCACCACCUACAGAAGUGACCACUCUUCUUCCGUCAGCAUCCCUCCUGAGGAGGUACCACGCAUCCCGUACAGAAGUGACCACUCCUCCUCCUGUCAGCAUCCCUCCUGAGGAGACCACUACCCCAACAGAAGUGAGCACUACCCCUCCUGAGGAGACCACCAUCCCGACAGAAGUGACCACUGUUCCUCCUGUCAUCAUCUCUCCUGAGGAGACCACCACCCCGACAGAAGUGACCACUCCUCCUCCUGAAGAGACCACCAUCCCUACAGAAGUGACCACUGUUCCUCCUGUCAGCAUCUCUCCUGAGGAGACCACCACCCCGACAGAAGUGACCACUCCUCCUCCUGAAGAGACCACCAUCCCUACAGAAGUGACCACUGUUCCUCCUGUCAGCGUCCCCCCUGAGGAGACCACGGUCCAUACAGAAGUAACUACUGUCCCAACAGAAGGAACCACUGUCCCUCCUGAAAAGACCACUAUUCCUUCAGAAGAGACCACUGUCUCCACUCCAGAGACCAUUUUCCUUACAAAGCAAUCUACUGUUAUUCAAACAUCCACAGCUUGUAGACCACCCUGCCCAAGUCCUACACUCAUGCCCAUUGGACCAAGCCUUUUGAAGCCACCAGUUGUCUCAGUGAUCGGCAUGGCCCCAACUACAGGUGUUUCUACCACAGGGUCCUUGGAACAAGUAGAGGACAAGAAGGAGGAAGUUAGGGAAGGAGGG